rnacentral:rRNA from 1 species
CGCAUCUGUGCAUGCAGCAUAUCAAUAAGCGGAGGAAAAGAAACUAACAAGGAUUCCCUCAGUAACGGCGAGUGAAGCGGGAAGAGCUCAAAUUUGAAAUCUUGAAAGGUCACCUUUCACGAAUUGUAGUUUAAAGAAGUGUUUUCUGUUACGAUCGUAAUAUAAGUUCUUUGGAAUAGGACAUCACAGAGGGUGAGAAUCCCGUCUAUGAUUGCGAUUUGUAGCUUUGUGAUACACUUUCAAAGAGUCGGGUUGUUUGGGAAUGCAGCCCAAAACGGGAGGUAAAUUUCUUCUAAGGCUAAAUAUUGGCGAGAGACCGAUAGCGAACAAGUACCGUGAGGGAAAGAUGAAAAGAACUUUGAAAAGAGAGUUAAAUAGUACGUGAAAUUGUCAAAAGGGAAGCGUUUGACACCAGUGUUGUUUUCUGAAAAUCAACCUCUGUUAGCUUUAUGCAUGUUUGUUUAGACCUAAUCAGCUAUCUUGCAUGUUCUAUUGUUUGCAGUGGUGCACUUUUCAGUUUACAGGUCAACAUCAGUUUUUUUUACCGUAAAAAAGUUAAAGAAAGGUAGCUCAUGGCUCCGGUCGUGAGUGUUAUAGUCUUUUUCCUAUGCGGUAGGAGAGACUGAGGUCUGCAGUGUAGGCUAUUUGGCUAGAUACUCAGGUGCUAUGUGAUACCAUUUCAUAAACAACUUGUUGAUUAUGUUUUGUCUAUUGCAUACUCGCUUGUACUAUCAUACCUACGCUUAGGAUGUUGAAGUCAUCGUAUCGCGC